AAUCCAUAGGUUAAUGAGGCGAACCGGGGGAACUGAAACAUCUAAGUACCCCGAGGAAAAGAAAUCAACCGAGAUUCCCCCAGUAGCGGCGAGCGAACGGGGAGGAGCCCAGAGCCUGAAUCAGCAUGUGUGUUAGUGGAAGCGUCUGGAAAGGCGCGCGAUACAGGGUGACAGCCCCGUACACAAAAGCGCAUGUGCUGUGAGCUCGAUGAGUAGGGCGGGACACGUGGUAUCCUGUCUGAAUAUGGGGGGACCAUCCUCCAAGGCUAAAUACUCCUGACUGACCGAUAGUGAACCAGUACCGUGAGGGAAAGGCGAAAAGAACCCCGGCGAGGGGAGUGAAAAAGAACCUGAAACCGUGUACGUACAAGCAGUGGGAGCACAGGUUUACCUGUGUGACUGCGUACCUU
rnacentral:rRNA from 5 species